GCACGUAGUUAGCCGGGACUUCUUCUGCAGGUACCGUCAGUUUCCCUUCGUCCCUGCCGAAAGGGGUUUACAACCCGAAGGCCUUCAUCCCCCACGCGGCGUCGCUGCGUCACGCUUUCGCGCAUUAGCGCAAGAUCCCCCACUGCUGCCUCCCGUAGGAGUCUGGGCCGUGUCUCAGUCCCAGUGUGGCUGGCCGUCCUCUCAGACCAGCUACCCGUCGUCGCCUUGGUGGGCCGUUACCCCACCAACAAGCUGAUAGGCCGCGGGCCCAUCCCGGACCGUCGGAGCUUUCCCGGCGCGACCAUGCGAUCGCGCCGGAGUAUCCGGUAUUAGCUCAGGUUUCCCUGGGUUAUCCCGGUGUCCGGGGCAGGUUGCCCACGUGUUACUCACCCGUUCGCCGCUCUCCCCUCGGAAGGGUUACCCCUCCUGAGGUUCCCGCUCGACUUGCAUGUGUUAGGCACGCCGCCAGCGUUCGUCCUGAGCCAGGAUCAAACUCU
rnacentral:rRNA from 1 species